rnacentral:tRNA from 1 species
GCCACUUCUACUUUCAA